rnacentral:rRNA from 1 species
GACGAACGCUGGCGGCGUGCUUAACACAUGCAAGUCGAGCGGAAAGGCCCGGCUUUUGUGGGUUGCUCGAGUGGCGAACGGGUGAGUAACACGUGAUUAACCUGCCCUGGACUUUGGGAUAACUUCAGGAAACGGGGGUUAAUACCGGAUAGGAGCUCCUGCUGCAUGGUGGGGUUUGGAAAGUUUCGGCGGUUGGGGAUGGAUUCGCGGCUUAUCAGCUUGUUGGUGGGGUAGUGGCUUACCAAGGCUUUGACGGGUAGCCGGCCUGAGAGGGUGACCGGCCACAUUGGGACUGAGAUACGGCCCAGACUCCUACGGGAGGCAGCAGUGGGGAAUAUUGCACAAUGGGCGGAAGCCUGAUGCAGCAACGCCGCGUGCGGGAUGACGGCCUUCGGGUUGUAAACCGCUUUCGCCUGUGACGAAGCGUGAGUGACGGUAAUGGGUAAAGAAGCACCGGCUAACUACGUG